rnacentral:rRNA from 1 species
AUAUUGGACAAUGGGCGCAAGCCUGAUCUAGCCAUGCCGCGUGAGUGACGAAGGCCUUAGGGUUGUAAAGCUCUUUUGGCGGGGACGAUAAUGACGGUACACGCAGAAUAAGCUCCGGCUAACUUCGUGCCAGCAGCCGCGGUAAUACGAAGGGAGCUAGCGUUGUUCGGAAUCACUGGGCGUAAAGCGCACGUAGGCGGAUUUGUAAGUCAGGGGUGAAAUCCCGGGGCUCAACCCCGGAACUGCCUUUGAUACUGCAAAUCUCGAGUCCGAGAGAGGUGGGUGGAAUUCCUAGUGUAGAGGUGAAAUUCGUAGAUAUUAGGAAGAACACCGGUGGCGAAGGCGGCCCACUGGCUCGGUACUGACGCUGAGGUGCGAAAGCGUGGGGAGCAAACAGG